rnacentral:sRNA from 1 species
GUGCCACGGCCGUCUGAGCUGAGUUCAUAAAAAACAAAAAGGCGCAGAUAUCUGCGCCUUUUUU